AGGUCUCCGUAGGUGAACCUGCGGAGGGAUCAUUACACAAAUAUGAAGGCGGGCUGGAACCUCUCGGGGUUACAGCCUUGCUGAAUUAUUCACCCUUGUCUUUUGCGUACUUCUUGUUUCCUUGGUGGGUUCGCCCACCACUAGGACAAACAUAAACCUUUUGUAAUUGCAAUCAGCGUCAGUAACAAAUUAAUAAUUACAACUUUCAACAACGGAUCUCUUGGUUCUGGCAUCGAUGAAGAACGCAGCGAAAUGCGAUAAGUAGUGUGAAUUGCAGAAUUCAGUGAAUCAUCGAAUCGUUGAACGCACAUUGCGCCCUUUGGUAUUCCAAAGGGCAUGCCUGUUCGAGCGUCAUUUGUACCCUCAAGCUUUGCUUGGUGUUGGGCGUCUUGUCUCUAGCUUUGCUGGAGACUCGCCUUAAAGUAAUUGGCAGCCGGCCUACUGGUUUCGGAGCGCAGCACAAGUCGCACUCUCUAUCAGCAAAGGUCUAGCAUCCAUUAAGCCUUUUUUUCAACUUUUGACCUCGGAUCAGGUAGGGAUACCCGCUGAACUUAAGCAUAU
rnacentral:rRNA from 1 species